GAUGAACGCUGACAGAAUGCUUAACACAUGCAAGUCAACUUGAACUUCGGUUUGGGUGGCGGACGGGUGAGUAACGCGUAAAGAACUUGCCUCACAGAUAGGGACAACAUUUGGAAACGAAUGCUAAUACCUGAUAUUAUGAUUUUAGGGCAUCCUAGAAUUAUGAAAGCUAUAUGCGCUGUGAGAGAGCUUUGCGUCCCAUUAGCUAGUUGGAGAGGUAACGGCUCACCAAGGCGAUGAUGGGUAGCCGGCCUGAGAGGGUGAUCGGCCACAAGGGGACUGAGACACGGCCCUUACUCCCACGGGAGGCAGCAGUGGGGAAUAUUGGACAAUGGACCGAGAGUCUGAUCCAGCAAUUCUGUGUGCACGAUGAAGUUUUUCGGAAUGUAAAGUGCUUUCAGUUGGGAAGAAAUAAAUGACGGUACCAACAGAAGAAGUGACGGCUAAAUACGUGCCAGCAGCCGCGGUAAUACGUAUGUCACGAGCGUUAUCCGGAUUUAUUGGGCGUAAAGCGCGUCUAGGUGGUUAUGUAAGUCUGAUGUGAAAAUGCAGGGCUCAACUCUGUAUUGCGUUGGAAACUGUGUAACUAGAGUACUGGAGAGGUAAGCGGAACUACAAGUGUAGAGGUGAAAUUCGUAGAUAUUUGUAGGAAUGCCGAUGGGGAAGCCAGCUUACUGGACAGAUACUGACGCUAAAGCGCGAAAGCGUGGGUAGCAAACAGG
rnacentral:rRNA from 1 species